rfam:Trichobilharzia regenti genome assembly, scaffold: TRE_scaffold0024320
GCGUCGGUGGCACAGUGGUUAGGACGCUCGCCAGCCAUGCAUGUGAUCCUGGGUUCGAUUCCCGGCCAACGCA